rnacentral:tRNA from 1 species
GCCUGGGUGGCUCAGUGGGUUGAGCAUCUGACUUCGGCUCAGGUCACGAUCUCAUGGUUUGUGAGUUCAAGCCCCACAUCAGGCU